ensembl:lncRNA
UUUUGCCCAAUGACAGCUUAGUGUGGAGUCACUGUUUUGUCCAAGCCAAAGGUUUGCCGCGGUGUGUGAUUACUGGAGGAAAAAAGACAGCCCUCUUUCCUGUAUACAGUGUCGAUGGUGGAUGACCUCUUAAACAGUUUCCACAGGAUUUCAGAGGUUCCAGUGAUUGCUGCUGAUGAGCGAAACUUAAAAAGUGGAAACACACCGCAAACCCGCCCCUCUCUAAAUUGGUCCAAUCAAACUUCACUGUAACAGCUGGCAGAAAAUGGGAGGCACUCUUAAGACUGACCCGAUGAGUCCGCGCAAAAGCUGGCAAGCAUGCCUACUGUCCCGCUAUUUUCCCCACUGAUGUACAAAUACCUUUCCGAUAACAAGAUAAUGUGUUUAUUCAGAGGACAUCUGCAGGAAAAAGUGGAAGAGCCUCAGGGACACGUAUAGUAAGGAGAAGAGGACAUGGAAGGAGAAGAGGAGUGGGUCUGCAGCAGGAUCGGGGAGGAGAUGGAAAUUUUACGCGGUGAUGGGGUUUCUGGACCCCUUCCUCACCCCACGGGAGACUAGUGGCAAUAUGGUGCGGACUGUGGAGAACUUCGCCCCGAGGACGAGGGACAGCC